rnacentral:lncRNA from 1 species
UCAACAGUGCGCCGGCGCGACUACACUAACGGUAUCACGUCGUGACGGCGUCGAUUUUGAUUUCUCCUUGAUGAGAAGUCGGCAAAAAAUAAAAAUUAAAAAAUCCAAUUUAAAUAUCUCCGAAGCCCUUCGCUGGAGGAUUAUUGAGGCGAGUUUUGCUUCGAUUUGUUCGGAUUUGUGUCCAUCUAUUGGGAAUUUGGAUUCUCAGGUGUUGUGAAGGAAGCACCAGAGAGAUGUUGGUUUACUUGUGGUGGCAUUUGCGGGCGGUGAUAGGGUAUUGUCGAGAGUUAUGGUGAGGUAAACGGGG